ensembl:misc_RNA Metazoa_SRP Metazoan signal recognition particle RNA
GCUGGGCAUGGUGGCGCAUGCCUGUAAUCCCAGCUACUCAGGAGGCUGAGGCAGGAGAAUUGCCUGAACCCAGGAGGCGGAGGUUGCGGUGAGCCGAGAUCGCGCCAUUGCACUCUACCCUGGGUAACAGAGUGAGACUCUGUCUCAA